rnacentral:piRNA from 1 species
UGGGAUAUUCAAUUGCAAUUU